UACAGGGGGGCAAGCGUUGUUCGGAAUUAUUGGGCGUAAAGGGUGCGUAGGCGGUUUGGUAAGUCUUAUGUGAAAUCUACAGGCUCAACUUGUAGUCUGCAUGAGAAACUGCCGGGCUUGAGUAUGGGAGAGGUGAGUGGAAUUCCUGGUGUAGCGGUGAAAUGCGUAGAUAUCAGGAGGAACACCUGUGGCGAAAGCGGCUCACUGGACCAUAACUGACGCUGAUGCACGAAAGCUAGGGGAGCAAACAGG
rnacentral:rRNA from 1 species